rnacentral:rRNA from 1 species
CCUACGGGUGGCAGCAGUGAGGAAUAUUGGUCAAUGGCCGGAAGGCUGAACCAGCCAUGCCGCGUGAAGGUCAGUGCCCUAUGGGCGUUAAACUUCUUUUGUGCGGGAGCAAUAAUGGUCACGUGUGGCAAGACGAGAGUACCGUACGAAUAAGCAUCGGCUAACACCGUGCCAGCAGCCGCGGUAAUACGGGGGAGGCAAGCGUUAUCAGGAUUUAUUGGGUUUAAAGGGUGCGUAGGCUGGGAGGUAAGUCAGCGGUGAAAUGCCCCCGCUCAACGGGGUGAAGUGGCAUUGAUACUGCGUUGCUGGAAUGCGGAUGGCGUGGGAGGAAUGUGUGGUGUAGCGGUGAAAUGC